rnacentral:rRNA from 1 species
CCUACGGGAGGCAGCAGUGGGGAAUAUUGCGCAAUGGGCGAAAGCCUGACGCAGCGACGCCGCGUGAGGGAUGAAGGUCUUCUGAUCGUAAACCUCUGUCAGCAGGGAAGAACGGUCACUGUGCUAAUCAGCAGUGAAUUGACGGUACCUGCAAAGGCAGCACCGGCUAACUCCGUGCCAGCAGCCGCGGUAAUACGGAGGGUGCGAGCGUUAAUCGGAAUUACUGGGCGUAAAGCGCUCGUAGGCGGUAUGUCAAGUCAAGUGUGAAAUCCCCGCGCUCAACGUGGGAACUGCCUUUGAAACUGGCAAACUGGAGUGUGUGAGAGGAUAGUGGAAUUCCAGGUGUAGGAGUGAAAUCCGUAGAUAUCUGGAGGAACAUCAGUGGCGAAGGCGACUAGCUGGAACAUAACUGACGCUGAUGAGCGAAAGCGUGGGUAGCAAACAGGAUUAGAUACCCUAGUAGUC